AUUGAACGCUGGCGGCAGGCCUAACACAUGCAAGUCGAACGGUAACAGGAAACAGCUUGCUGUUUCGCUGACGAGUGGCGGACGGGUGAGUAAUGUCUGGGAAACUGCCUGAUGGAGGGGGAUAACUACUGGAAACGGUAGCUAAUACCGCAUAACGUCGCAAGACCAAAGAGGGGGACCUUCGGGCCUCUUGCCAUCGGAUGUGCCCAGAUGGGAUUAGCGAGUAGGUGGGGUAACGGCUCACCUAGGCGACGAUCCCUAGCUGGUCUGAGAGGAUGACACGCCACACUGGAACUGAGACACGGUCCAGACUCCUAAGGGAGGCAGCAGUGGGGAAUAUUGCACAAUGGGCGCAAGCCUGAUGCAGCCAUGCCGCGUGUAUGAAGAAGGCCUUCGGGUUGUAAAGUACUUUCAGCGGGGAGGAAGGGAGUAAAGUUAAUACCUUUGCUCAUUGACGUUACCCGCAGAAGAAGCACCGGCUAACUCCGUGCCAGCCGCCGCCGUAA
rnacentral:rRNA from 1 species